UUGAGUGGGAGAAGAAGAUGGAGUUCGUGUUUGAUUGCCACAAUUACUCCGAGACAAAGAAGGAGGCGGAAUAGAGAACACCCAAUAGACACAUGGGAGGAGAUGAAAGUAGUGAUGAGAAAGCGAUUCGUUCCAAGUUACUACUACCGAGAGUUGUACAAAAAGCUACAAGGUCUUAGACAAGGGAGUCGAAGCGUAGAGGACUACUACAAGGAGAUGGAGAUUGCUAUGAUCUGCGCUAAUGUAGAGGAGGAUCGGGAGGCUACAAUGGCUAGAUUUUUGCUUGGCUUAAACCGGGAGAUCCAUGAUAAGGUAGAGAUGCAGUAUUAUGUGGAAUUGGAAGAUAUGGUGCAUAUGGCUAUCAAAGUGGAACAACAACUCAAGAGAGGGAAUGGGACACAUGCAGGCCAUAACUCUAGUUCUACCUCUUGGAAAUCGAGUCAUGCUAAGCCACUGGACAAGUCACAAAUGCCCAAACUCGAGCCCAAGUCCGCGACCACCAGCCACGUUCCUCAAGGUAAAACCGAAGCCUCUACCUCUAGGAAUCGUGAUAUUAAAUGUUUUAGAUGUCAAGGCAUGGGCCACAUAGCAAGUCAAUGUCCAAACAAGCAAGUCAUGGUGUUGCAAGCCAAUGGUGAAAUUGUGACCGAUGAUGAAGAUUCCGACACAGACAUGCCGCCAUUAGAGGAUGUUUCCGAGGAGGAGUAUUUAGCCCCUGCCAUUGCCAUUGAGCUUGCAAGCAAAAGGAGUUGAUGAAAUACAGUGGGAGAACAUCUUGGUGCUACAUUGAGGCAAGUAGUUGAGUUGAUACUAAUAUUGCUAGGUGCACAAUUAUGGUGGAGAAAUUGGGAUUGCCCAUGGUAAAGCACCCUAGACCGUACAAGUUGCAAUGGCUAAAUGAUAGUGGUGAGAUCAAGGUGAACAAGCAAGUGUUAGUUGCAUUUCGAAUCGGUAAAUACGAAGAUGAAGUGUUGUGUGAUGUAGUACCGAUGCAAGCGGGACACUUAUUGCUAGGGCGUCCAUGGCAAUUUGAUAGGCAAGUGAAGCAUGAUGGCUUUACGAACAAGUACUCUUUUGUACUUAAUCAACGAUUAAUCACUCUUGUACCAUUGACACCGCAGCAAGUAUACGAGGAUCAAGUAAGAUUACAAAAGGAGAAGAGAAAACAAAAGAAUUUCUAUGCAAAAGUGAGUGAGAUCAAGCAAGCAAUGUUUUCAAAUAAGCCGAUGAUUGUACUUUUGUACAAAGAGGCACUUUUAAACACUAACGAACUUGACCUUGCUUUGCCUAGUUCUAUUGUUUCUCUUUUGCAGGAGUACGAGGAUGUCUUCCCCGAGGAAACACCACAUGGGUUACCUCCAAGCUGAGGGAUUGAACAUCAAAUUGAUUUUGUUCCCGGUGCAACCAUUCCAAACCGACCAGCUUAUAGGAGCAAUCCCGAGGAGACAAAGGAGCUUCAACGGCAGAAGGAUGGGACGUGGAGAAUGUGCGUUGAUUGCCGAGCCAUCAACAACAUAACGGUAAAGUAUCGUCAUCCUAUCCCACGCUUAGAUGAUAUGUUAGAUGAGCUGCAUGGUUCUUGCAUAUUUUCUAAGAUUGAUUUAAAAAGUGGUUAUCAUCAAAUUAGGAUAAAAGAAGGAGAUGAAUGGAAAACCGCCUUUAAAACAAAAUAUGGUUUGUAUGAAUGGUUAGUUAUGCCUUUUGGUUUGACUAAUGCUCCGAGCACCUUUAUGAGACUUAUGAACCAUGUUUUGCGUGCAUUUAUAGGCAGAUUUGUUGUUGUCUAUUUUGAUGAUAUACUCAUUUAUAGCAAAAACAUAGACGAUCAUGUAGUACAUUUGAAAUCCGUUUUAGAUGUGCUAAGGAAAGAAAGGUUGUUUGCUAAUUUAAAGAAGUGCACUUUUUUCACCGAUAAGCUUGUAUUUUUGGGAUUUGUUGUUAGUGCACAAGGUAUACAGGUUGAUGAAGAGAAGGUACGUGCAAUCCAAGAUUGGCCGAGUCCCACAAGUGUAGGUAAUGUUCGUAGUUUUCAUGGACUUGCUAGUUUCUACCGGCGGUUCGUGAAGGACUUUAGUAGCUUAGCCGCACCGCUUACCGAAGUGAUCAAGAAGAACGUUGGAUUUCGGUGGGGAGAAGAACAAGAGAAGGCAUUUCAAUUAAUCAAAGAGAAGCUGACUAACGCACCUUUGUUGUCUUUGCCCAACUUUUCUAAAAUUGAAUGUGAUGCUUCAGGUAUUGGUAUAGGAGCCGUUCUUAUGCAAGAAGGACGACCAAUUGCUUACUUCAGCGAGAAACUCAGCGGGGCAGCCUUAAACUACCCAACUUAUGACAAGGAGUUGUAUGCAUUGGUUCGGGCUUUAGAGACGUGGCAGCACUACCUAUGGCCUAAGGAGUUCGUGAUUCACACCGAUCAUGAGUCCUUGAAACACUUGAAGGGCCAACACAAGCUAAACAAAAGGCAUGCGCGAUGGGUGGAGUUCAUAGAGACGUUUCCAUACGUCAUUCGGUACAAGCAAGGUAAGGAGAAUGUAGUCACCGAUGCACUUUCUCGCAGGUAUGCCUUACUCUCCACACUUGAUGCAAAAUUGCUUGGUUUUGAACACAUUAAAGAAUUAUAUGCUGAAGACCACGAAUUUUGUGAGGAAUAUCGAGCUUGUGAGAAAAUCGCCUCUGGUAAGUUCUUUAAGCUUGAUGGAUUCCUAUUUCGAGAAAAUAAGCUAUGCGUGCCUAAUUGUUCUAUGAGGGAGUUAUUAGUGCAGGAAUCACAUGGUGGGGGAUUAAUGGGACAUUUUGGAGUUGCAAAGACUUUAGCUAUUUUGUAGGAACACUUCUAUUGGCCUCACAUGAAACGAGAUGUCGAACGGAUUUGUGGUAGAUGUGUCACAUAUAGGCAAGCUAAAUCCAAAGUGCAGCCCAACGGUUUGUAUACUCCUUUACCAAUUCCUAGUGAGCCUUGGAUUGAUAUUUCAAUGGAUUUUGUGUUAGGAUUGCCUAGGACUAAACGUGGAAGAGAUUCAAUUUUUGCGGUAUUUUCGCCAUUUGAAAUUGUGUAUGGGUUUAAUGCUUUAACUCCAUUGGAUUUAUCUCCUUUACUUUUGACGGAGCACGUUAAUUUAGAUGGCAAAAAGAAAGCUGACUUUGUGAAGCAAAUUCAUGAGAAAGCAAGACUCAACAUUGAGCGAAGAACGGAGCAAUAUGCCACACAAGCUAACAAGGGACGUCGCAAACUAGUUUUUGAACCCAGAGAUUGGGUUUGGCUGCAUAUGAGAAAAGAAAGAUUCCCGGUGAAAAGAUGUUCCAAAUUGCUCCCAAGAGGAGAUGGUCCCUUCCAAGUCCUCGAGCGUAUCAAUGACAAUGCUUACAAGCUAGAUUUACCUGGUGAUGAUUUGAGGACAAAUCCUUUUCAAGAGGAGGGGAAUUAUGGAGAUCAAGGCACCGCUUCGAAGGAUCUCGUUCAAGUACCAAUUGGGCCGGUUACAAGAGCACGAGCAAAGAAGUUUAAGGAUGUACUCAAUGGACUCAUCCAAGAGUUAUGGGCUCAAGCAAAUUCGUGGAGGCCCAUUGAGCAUGAUCCACAUAUUAUUGACAAAACUUGUGAGGUUUAUUCUCUUUGGUUCUUUGAAGAACUACUCGAACUUAUCGGGAAUUCCCGUGGCAUUCAUCUCGACUUAUCAAACGGAGUUUUCACCAUCGUUUGUGGUGUCUUCCUUAUACCGAGGUUCUUGUUUGUCAUAAACAACGGGUCGAGGUCUCCCAUUUGA